UAACUUUUACAGUGUUUGACUACUUAAAUC
rnacentral:piRNA from 1 species